AUCUUGGAUCAGGAAGUCCUAACAUGGUAACCGGCUUCUUUUGUCAUGUAUGGAUGGACCCGCGUCGCAUUACCUAGUUGGUGAGGUAACGGCUCACCAAGGCAACGAUGCGUAGCCGACCUGAGAGGGUGAUCGGCCACACUGGGACUGAGACACGGCCCAGACUCCUACGGGAGGCAGCAGUAGGGAAUCUUCCGCAAUGGACGAAAGUCUGACGGAGCAACGCCGCGUGAGUGAUGAAGGCUUUCGGGUCGUAAAACUCUGUUGUUAGGGAAGAACAAGUGCUAUUUGAAUAAGCUGGCACCUUGACGGUACCUAACCAGAAAGCCACGGCUAACUACGUGCCAGCAGCCGCGGUAAUACGUAGGUGGCAAGCGUUAUCCGGAAUUAUUGGGCGUAAAGCGCGCGCAGGUGGUUUCUUAAGUCUGAUGUGAAAGCCCACGGCUCAACCGUGGAGGGUCAUUGGAAACUGGGAGACUUGAGUGCAGAAGAGGAGAGUGGAAUUCCAUGUGUAGCGGUGAUAUGCGUAGAGAUAUGGAGGAACACCAGUGGCGAAGGCGACUUUCUGGUCUGUAACUGACACUGAGGCGCGAAAGCGUGGGGAGCAAACGGGAUUACAUACCCUGGUAGUCCACGCCGUAAACGAUGAGUGCUAAGUGUUAAAGGGUUUCCGCCCCUUUAGUGCUGAAGUUAACGGCAUUAGCACUCCGCCUGGGGAAUACGGGCGGCCAAGGUUGAAUA
rnacentral:rRNA from 1 species